AUGCUGAUACAUCAGAGUACAUCAGUGAAAACAUUGGACCUGGACCACUGGGUCCAGAGAAAAACUUCCAAGGUGUCCUAUCCUGGUCUCCAUCUCGAGGAAACAAUAUCAUUGUUACGAUGUAUUGAUCACCACUCCCAGAUCCUGGCUAGAUAUCCAACAUCUCUGAGUCAGACGACUAGGAGGCCUCAUAACCGCCCAAAAUGGGUCAAAGACACACUUUUACCAUCACUAGGUCCAAACCACCAGUCUGGGCUAAGACCUUCCCCAUGGAGCAGUGGAAUACCUGGUCACUGGAGAAAGGCCAUGUCAGUACCCUUCUCAUUACAUCAGCAUAUACCUGAUGUUCUACCUCAACCUCACCAUGGUGACCAAGUCAAAGAUGUAUCAGCACAACUAGACCAACAGGAAACAGUGCCACCUAAAGCAGAUGUAGCCACAGCUCUAAAUGGUCAUAUUCACUGGACAAAACCUCUAAGCAACAUAGAACACCAAGAGACAAUUCCACUUGGUCCUCAUCAUCAAGCUACGUCUUCUCACAGCCAUGACCACCAAGCUGAGGGUACACCAGAUCCAAAUACCCAGAUUGUACUCAAAAAAGAUCAAGACAAGUGGAAGGUGACAAAUCCCAUAAUCCAGGAAUACCAGGCAAGGCUUCCACAGGGCUUACUAGACCUUCAGGAUACAACUUUACUUAGUUCCAAAAACCAGACCAUACCUCUAACCAUCAGUGACCACCAGGCUGGCGAUAUGCCAAAUUCUAGUGUCCCAGUCAAACUCCACGAGGAAGCAGUCAACUGGGAAAUAGGACCAAUUGGACAAGAUCAACAGACCACAACUCCAACAAGCCAGGGCAAUUGGAUGGCCCUUCUUCCACCAGACAUACUACACCUCAACAUGAUUCUACCUAGUGGCUCUGACCACCAGGUCAUAUCCUCUCCCAAUCCUGACUUCCAGGCUGAGGAUAUAUCAGGCAAAAAUACCCAGAGCAUCUGUCCAAUUGCAGAAGAUCACUGA
rnacentral:lncRNA from 1 species